UAAAAAUGGACAUUCAAAAACAAAAAGGCAGAAUGGAUUUUUUUCAAAAAAGAAAUCUACUGAGUAAAGCAGCACCUUGGGGUAUAGCUGAAUAGAUUUUCCGUAUUCCUUUACUGUCUUACGGAGCAGAGAGUCAGGUCUCCAUACCGAAAUACAAAAUGAUGCAACUCAGUGUCCAGCUGCAGCCAGCCCUUUGAAAGCCCACUCGGAGAAUGUAACUUCACAUACGGUUGGCAUUUUAUUUUACGUUUAACUUGCAUGCAUUCUGGUGUGUCGAUGGGUUGGUUUGUGCACAUGACUGCAGAUACCUGUAGGAGCCAAAAGAGGGCAUUGCAUUCCCUUGGAACAGGAGUUACAGGAAAUUGGGUGCCGCUGUGCAUGCUGGGAACUGAACUCCAGCUCUCUGGAAGAGCGGUGUUACUAACCACUGACCUGUCUGGCUCUCCAGUGCCUGUGAGAGUUUGCAAUCCAGUGCCUUUGGAAUUUACUAUAAAAUGCAGCUUGCAUGUUACUCCCUAAAGUGUCUUUCAUCUAGACUUGUCUGGGACUGUUUCCUGUUUAACGUCUUCCCCUUCCUUCCAGCCCCUCAUCUCUGAGGACUUUCCAGACACUCACUGUGGGAUUUAUUUUUGCCCCAUCCCUGUUUCUGUCUUACGUUCUGUUUGUGGAGCUGACAUUGGACUAUGGUGUCUGUCUCAGGCCCUCAGUCAGGAGAAAGGGUAGCAACAACUCUAUAAGCAUUAAAACCAACGCUCAACGCACUGCACAGCACUCUAGAAGCUUCCGUCAAAUGAUCGUGGAAAAGAUCUGAAUGAUCUAGAAUUGAAGUCAGAGCGUUCAUGCCCUGGUACCUGCAGCCCUGGUGGGAAGACACUGCUGUCUGUGGACUUGCUUUAUCCGGGUGGCCCUGGCUCUACCCUAGGAGCACGACUUGAAUCAUUAUUGCCAGAAUAAUCUUCUUCAGGUAGACUCAGAAUCUUGUCUUUUGACAGACACCUCGUUGAGGUCAUCUUUUGGGGCUGGAGCUAACGUGGGAGUUCUUGUCGACCUCAUUAUUGGAGAGCUGAGACUCAUCGACACAGUUAGACCUGCUACUCAAUCUCAAACACCCUCAGUCCUGUCCGUCAAACUAUGAACCGGGCACAUCCAACUCCAUUCUUGCUUUUGACUGGAAAUGAAAAGAUCAAGACAAAGCUUCUAACAGGAAACGAAAACAACCUAAUUUUAUCAAAACAGAAGCAAUGAUUCCCUGGAAGAGUGAGCAGGCCCUAAAAAAGACGCACACAUCUUAUAGAACACACACGUGUUAAGUAUGCAUAUGUCUUACUUCAGACAGACCACUAAUAGAUGCCAGGCCUUGUUUACUUUUUGUUAAGCCAGCAGAGAUAAUUAUUUUCUCAAUGAAAUUUAAAGUGUUCUCAUAGCAUAACUGGAAGCCAAGACAGUAUACUUCUAUGUCUUCCCUUGCCAGCUACAGUUGACUUGAUCAUAUAGUGCACAACAUAUAGGAAGAAAAUCACAACCCAUAUUGUCCUUACCAUCCUUCCUAAGGUGCUCCUUCUAAGUGCUCCCAACCUGAACUCUCACCUCCAUUUCUAACCCCCUGCCUCCUUGUGCCCUCAGGAGAAGGAGCUGUAGUUUCAGCUUAUUUGAGAACAGCAGACUGACUACUUGGAGGCCGUCUUCCUUUUCAUUAGUGAGCUUCUGGUGGCUGGGGAUGGAUUUGAACCCUCCAAAGAGAGCCAAUAGGCAUCUAUGUAUUGGCCUGAGGAUGAGGACAAGGAAAUAUUAGGAAACAGGAGACCUGGGGACAGCAUGGCUAGCCACCCACUGUGGAAGAGAGCCUCGCUAGGGAUGCUGCUCAGCUGCAAGCAAACAGGAGGACAGCAGGACGCCGCAGGAUCAGACAUAUCAGAUGGAUUCACCCAGGCUCCUGAGUACCAACUUUCAGUGUGGCUUUGAUCAGGCAGCCCGUUUUUCAGCCUUCUGAAGUAGUAGUACAAUAUUCUGGGAAAUAUAACCCCAGGAAAUAGAUUAAUGACCAGUCUGAAUACAUUCUGUAAAUUGUUCCAGUUGAUCAAAUGAUGACUCCAGAAAUGUUUAAGAAAAAAAAAACCCUACAAUUUUGAGCCUGGCAUGGUGGUAACCUUGUGUUUCCAGUCCCAGGGAGGCUGAAGCAGGGAGAUUGUUAGUUUGAGGCCAACCUGGACUACCCAGUAAGACUCUGGAUCAAAUAAGCAAAACACUCAAAUUUGGUAUCACACAUAUACAAAAUGGCUUGUCUUGAAAUCCACAUUAACACAUGGUAAGACUCAGCCAUGUUCUGCAUUGUCCGUUAGCUAUGUGAUGUGUGCAUGGUGAAGCCAUGUAGAGAAAUCAGUGUCCACACAUUCACAUCUCUGUGGAUCCUGGGAGCCAUGGCAUUGCCACUGAACACUGAAGCCAGAAGCUCUACCUUCCCAUGACUUUUCCCUGUCUUUUCUCCUACACAGCCAUGGGCUAGCUCAGAGCCUGCAGACAGAUGCUACCCAGUGCCUGAGCUGCUCACACAGAAGUUCUAGGGAUCAAGCUGCAUACACAUUACAUCUGAUAGGCUGAGCACUGGAGAAGAGGAGGAAAUGCAGCCCACCUAAGGAUCCUGUCAUCCGAUGCUCAAUGGUCCACCUCUCAGAGGUCCCUAUUCUUGAUCAAUUCAGUACCAUGUCCCUAACUGGGAAGUCCCUGAAUACUGAACACCAAACACCAGGGCUGCCAGGCCUUUAUAUCCCAAUGCCGUGCUACAUCCUCAUCUGCAGUAUGGUUAACCUGCAUCGAAUGGUUCCUUGCAUCGAAGAGACAAGCAGGCCAGAAGAGGUGAACAGGCCAUCGUCUCUCUACAGCUUCUGAGGAGGAUCCUUCCUCAUCCCUUCCUAGCACCUGGGUUUUGAUCAUCAGCCUUGGUUUGUGCUUGCAUCCUCCAGUCCCUGCUCUGUGGUGCCAAAACUUCCUUCUGGGUUUCUCUGUGUGUUCUUUUUCUGUCACGUGGACACUUUCAUUGAGCCUGGAACUCACCCUUUAACAACAUUUUAGAACGAACUAUUCACCAAUAAGCUCGUAUCCUGAGGUUCCAGGCAAAUAUGGACCCAGUCCAGGUCUCAGCAUUUUUGUUCUGUGAAGCCUAACCUUGACAAUAGGAUUUGCAAAGAUGUGUGUCUCUGAACAGGGUGAAGAUGGUGGCUGCUGCUUCGAGAACCUCCCUCCCUCCUUACCUCUUGGUUGAAGGCAUUCCCCUUACCCAAACUAAUUUGACUCAAUCUUCAAGACUCUGUCCUCUGGGGAAGGGGAAAGGUGUCCAGGGACUUUUCUCUAGCAGUCAAGGAGAAGCUGACACACAUUUGAGUCAUCUGGCUUCAGAAUAAGAGAGGCCCUCACAAAAGCCAUCUGUCCCAAGAAUUAGGAGUGGUUGGGAGAGAGAGUAUGUCAAAUUAAAUAAAUUCCCUGAGAGACUGCUGCUGCUUGCAGUCUUCAGGUGCUAUGCUUCUGUUUCAAACCGUGA
rnacentral:sRNA from 1 species